UUAUCCCCGUUAAGCAUAGUGUCUCAUAUCUCUCUGUACGGGAAGGAUGAGAAGCUUCUACCAGGGUUCGAUUCGAGCGCAGCGAGAAAGCGUUGCCGCAGGCAACGACCCGAAGGGCGAAGCGCGCAGCGCUGAGUCAUCCUUCCCCCACCACCA
rnacentral:sRNA from 1 species